rnacentral:rRNA from 1 species
AGGACGAACGCUGGCGGCGUGCUUAACACAUGCAAGUCGAGCGGAAAGGCCCUUCGGGGUACUCGAGCGGCGAACGGGUGAGUAACACGUGAGGAACCUGCCCUGGACUUUGGGAUAACCCUCGGAAACGGGGGCUAAUACCGAAUACGACUACUGGCCGCAUGGUUGGUGGUGGAAAGUUUUUCGGUCUGGGAUGGUCUCGCGGCCUAUCAGCUUGUUGGUGGGGUAAUGGCCUACCAAGGCGACGACGGGUAG